GACGGUAUAGCUCAGUGGUAGGGUGUUCACUUAGCAUGCAAGAGGUCUUGGGUUCAAUUCCCCAGUACCACCA
rnacentral:tRNA from 1 species